UCGGCAAUGGACGAAAGUCUGACCGAGCAACGCCGCGUGAGUGAAGAAGGUUUUCGGAUCGUAAAGCUCUGUUGUAAGUCAAGAACGUGUGUGAGAGUGGAAAGUUCACACAGUGACGGUAGCUUACCAGAAAGGGACGGCUAACUACGUGCCAGCAGCCGCGGUAAUACGUAGGUCCCGAGCGUUGUCCGGAUUUAUUGGGCGUAAAGGGAGCGCAGGCGGUCAGGAAAGUCUGGAGUAAAAGGCUAUGGCUCAACCAUAGUGUGCUCUGGAAACUGUCUGACUUGAGUGCAGAAGGGGAGAGUGGAAUUCCAUGUGUAGCGGUGAAAUGCGUAGAUAUAUGGAGGAACACCAGUGGCGAAAGCGGCUCUCUGGUCUGUCACUGACGCUGAGGCUCGAAAGCGUGGGUAGCGAACAGGAUUAGAUACCCUGGUAGUCCACGCCGUAAACGAUGAGUGCUAGGUGUUAGGCCCUUUCCGGGGCUUAGUGCCGGAGCUAACGCAAUAAGCACUCCGCCUGGGGAGUACGACCGCAAGGUUGAAACUCAAAGGAAUUGACGGGGGCCCGCACAAGCGGUGGAGCAUGUGGUUAAUUCGAAGCA
rnacentral:rRNA from 1 species